CCUACGGGAGGCAGCAGUGGGGGAUAUUGCACAAUGGGGGGAACCCUGAUGCAGCGACGCCGCGUGGGUGAAGGAGUGCUUCGGCAUGUAAAGCCCUAUCGGCAGGGAAGAAGCAAGACGGUACCUGACUAAGAAGCCCCGGCUAACUACGUGCCAGCAGCCGCGGUAAUACGUAGGGGGCGAGCGUUAUCCGGAUUCACUGGGUGUAAAGGGAGCGUAGACGGCCAUGCAAGCCAGGGGUGAAAGCCCGGGGCCCAACCCCGGGACUGCCCUUGAAACUGUGCGGCUAGAGUGCGGGAGGGGCAGGCGGAAUGGCUGGUGUAGCGGUGAAAUGCGUAGAUAUCAGGAGGAACACCGGCGGCGAAGGCGGCCUGCUGGACCGCGACUGACGUUGAGGCUCGAAAGCGUGGGGAGCGAACAGGAUUAGAUACCCCUGUAGUC
rnacentral:rRNA from 1 species